rnacentral:rRNA from 1 species
GGAGUUAGCCGGUGCUUCUUCUGCGAGUAACGUCACAGAUGUAAGGUAUUAACUUACACCCUUUCCUCCUCGCUGAAAGUGCUUUACAACCCGAAGGCCUUCUUCACACACGCGGCAUGGCUGCAUCAGGGUUUACCCCAUUGUGCAAUAUUCCCCACUGCUGCCUCCCGUAGGAGUCUGGGCCGUGUCUCAGUCCCAGUGUGGCUGAUCAUCCUCUCAGACCAGCUAGGGAUCGUCGCCUAGGUGAGCCUUUACCUCACCUACUAGCUAAUCCCACCUGGGCUUAUCCAUCAGCGCAAGGCCCGAAGGUCCCCUGCUUUCCCCCGUAGGGCGUAUGCGGUAUUAGCAGUCGUUUCCAACUGUUAUCCCCCACAAAUGGGCAAAUUCCCAGGCAUUACUCACCCGUCCGCCGCUCGUCAUCUUCAAAAGCAAGCUUUUGAAAUGUUACCGCUCGACUUGCAUGUGUUAGGCCUGCCGCCAGCGUUCAAUCUGAACCAGAUCAAAUUCUGA